ACCAUCCCCUCCCAUUAACUCGAAGGACAUUCUCAGAUCCAAGGAACAAGCUCCUCCUUAGUAUCCCUACGGUGCUCUAGCCACCCUCUAAAGAGCUUGACCUUGUAGUUUCCAUAUAACUCUCUAAUCUUCUGCAAUCAAGUAUCUCGAGCCUUCUUAUGAUCUGAGAAGUCGUACCUCUUUUGUACAAAGUUAUCAGACGUCAGUUAUGAAAAUAUUCUAAUCAAACAUAGUAUAAAC
rnacentral:lncRNA from 1 species